GGUGGUUCAGUGGUAAAGUGCUUGCCUUGCAUGCAUGAGGCCCUGGGUUUGAUUCUCAGCACCA
rnacentral:tRNA from 1 species